UAGAGAAAGCCCUCUGUCCUUGCAAUA
rnacentral:piRNA from 1 species